rnacentral:rRNA from 1 species
CUCCUACGGGAGGCAGCAGUGGGGAAUUUUGCGCAAUGGGGAAACCCUGACGCAGCAACGCCGCGUGGAGGAUGAAGCCCUUGGGCGUAAACUCCUUUCGAUUGGGAAGAUAAUGACGGUACCGAGACGAAGAAGCCCGGCUAACUUCGUGCCAGCAGCCGCGGUAAUAC